rnacentral:rRNA from 1 species
UGGGUCUCCGCCGCUGACUUAAGCMUAUCAAKAAGCGGAGGAAAGAAACCCAACAGGGAUUGCUCUAGUAACGGCGAGUGAAGCAGCAAUAGCUCAAAUUUGAAAUCUGGCGUCUUCGGCGUCCGAGUUGUAAUUUGUAGAGGAUGCUUCUGGGCAGCCACCGGCCUAAGUUCCUUGGAACAGGACGUCAUAGAGGGUGAGAAUCCCGUAUGCGGUCGGAAAGGCACCCUACACGUAGCUCCUUCGACGAGUCGAGUUGUUUGGGAAUGCAGCUCUAAAUGGGAGGUAAAUUUCUUCUAAAGCUAAAUAUUGGCCAGAGACCGAUAGCGCACAAGUAGAGUGAUCGAAAGAUGAAAAGCACUUUGGAAAGAGAGUUAAAAAGCACGUGAAAUUGUUGAAAGGGAAGGGAUUGCAACCAGACUUGCUCGCGGUGUUCCGCCGGUCUUCUGACCGGUUCAUUCGCCGCGUUGCAGGCCAGCAUCGUCUGGUGCCGCUGGAUAAGACUUGAGGAAUGUAGCUCCCUCGGGAGUGUUAUAGCCUCUUGUGAUGCAGCGAGCGCCGGGCGAGGUCCGCGCUUCGGCUAGGAUGCUGGCGUAAUGGUUGUAAUCCGCCCGUCUUGAAACACGGACCAAGGAGUCUAACAUCUAUGCGAGUGUUCGGGUGUCAAACCCCUACGCGUAAUGAAAGUGAACGGAGGUGAGAACCGCAAGGUGCAUCAUCGACCGAUCCUGAUGUCUUCGGAUGGAUUUGAGUAUGAGCAUAGCUGUUGGGACCCGAAAGAUGGUGAACUAUGCCUGAAUAGGGUGAAGCCAGAGGAAACUCUGGUGGAGGCUCGCAGCGGUUCUGACGUGCAAAUCGAUCGUCAAAUUUGGGUAUAGGGGCGAAAGACUAAUCGAACCAUCUWGUAGCCCUGGUUCCUGCCGAGUCUCUUUCUGGAGAUAAA